CCUACGGGAGGCAGCAGUGGGGGAUAUUGGACAAUGGGGGGAACCCUGAUCCAGCGACGCCGCGUGAGUGAAGAAGUAUUUCGGUAUGUAAAGCUCUGUCAGCAGGGAAGAAAGAAAUGACGGUACCUGACCAAGAAGCCCCGGCUAACUACGCGCCAGCAGCCGCGGUAAUACGUAGGGGGCAAGCGUUAUCCGGAAUUACUGGGUGUAAGGGGAGCGUAGACGGUUAAGUAAGUCUGAAGUGAAAGGCCGGGGCCCAACCCCGGGACUGCUCUGGAAACUAUUGAACUUGAGUGUAGGAGAGGUAAGCGGAAUUCCUAGUGUAGCGGUGAAAUGCGUAGAUAUUAGGAGGAACACCAGUGGCGAAGGCGGCUUACUGGACUGUAACUGACGUUGAGGCUCGAAAGCGUGGGGAGCAAACAGGAUUAGAUACCCUAGUAGUC
rnacentral:rRNA from 1 species